rnacentral:snRNA from 1 species
GUAUAUGAGGGUGAUCUGGCUGUGACAUCUGUCACUCCAUUGAUGACCAGGGUUAAUUCGGCUGAUCUAGCUGGCUAGGUGGGCGUCCUGUCCCCAUCCUCUCCCAAGGCUCCAUGUGCAUCCCUCCCAAAGCAGUGUGCUAGGUCAAAGAGAAAGACCUUCUCCUAUAAGAGAUGGACUGGUAUCCAGCUGAAGGUAAAGGAGUAGCUGUAUUCUCCUCCUUGAACCUCCAAACAAGCUCUCAGGAGUCCUCUACCAAAGAGCAGACUGUGCAUCUAUCAUCUACUAGGGGUGUAUUUCAGAAAAUCCUCCAUGU